UUUACUGGGCGUAAAGUGUCCGUAGCCGGAUAUACAAGUCUGUUUUCAAAUACCACGACUCAAUCGUGGACAGGGAAUAGAUACUGUAUAUCUAGAGAAUAUUGGAGGUUAGUGGAAUUUCCGGUGGAGCGGUGAAAUGCGUUGAUAUCGGAAAGAACGCCGAAAGCGAAAGCAGCUAACUAUGAUAUUUCUGACGGUGAUGGACGAAAGCUUGAGUAGCAAACGGGAUUAGAUACCCCGGUAGUUCAAGCUGUAAAUUAUCCUUGCUAGGUGUCUCCACAACUAUUGGUAUAGCAGUAUGUUAUAUCAAAAGUUGUGGAGGUGCCGUAAGUUAACACGUUAAGCAAGGCGCCUGAGUAGUAUAUUCGCAAGAAUGAAACUCAAAGGGAUAGGCGGGGGAACACACAAGCAGUGGAUGAUCUAGAUUAAUUGGAUACUAAGCCAAAAAUCUUACCCAGACUUGACAUGGAUUGUGUCUACGAUGAAAGUCGUAUAGCUGUAGCAAUACAGCGCUUUCCACAGAUGGUGCAUGGUCGUCGUCAGCUCGUGCCGCAAGGUGUCUAGUUAAGUCUAGUAACGAGCGCAACCCUCAUCGUUAGUUAAAUAUGUCUAACGAGACUGCCCGCGUAAGCGGGAGGAAGGAGAGGAUGACGUCAGAUCCUCAUGCCUCUUACGUCUGGGGCUUCAUAGAUCAUACAAUGGGUAGUUACAAUGAGAAGCAAUACCGCAAGGUGGAGCAAAUCUUCAAAGCUACCCUCAGUUCGGAUUGUAGUCUGGAAUUCGACUACAUGAAGUUGGAAUUGCUAGUAAUGGCGAAUCAGCAUUGUCGCCGUGAAUAUGUCCCUGUUCCUUGCACUCACCGCCCGUCAAACCAUGGGAGUUGGAGUUCUCUAAAGAUUCACCAUGUGGAUUAAGGAGAAAGCCGAUGACUGGGGUUAAGUCGUAACAAGGUAUCCCUACCGGAAGGUGGGGAUAG
rnacentral:rRNA from 1 species